rnacentral:lncRNA from 1 species
UUUUCCAGAGUAUGAGGCUCCACAGGACAAUGCGUGGAAGUUUCCAGAGUAUGAGGCUCCACAUGGCAAUGCAUGAGGGUUGACAAAGCAUGAGGCCCCAUAAGGAAAAUAAAAGAAAAAGGUUUUCUAGAGAAUGAGGCUCCAUAGGGAAAUGCAUGAAGGUUGUUAGAGCAUGAGGUUCCACAGGGCAAUGCAUGAAGGUUACAAGAGCAUGAGGCUCUAUAGAGUAAUGCAUGAGGGGUAUUGGUUUAGAGAUGUGUGUUUAACCAUGAGAUGCUUAACCCAAAUAAUGCAUGGAUGUCCAAAGAAUGCAGUGUUUGGUCCAAAGGGAAGUAUAAGAGACAAUUGUUAUGGAUGUUGAUUGUUGCAGUAUGGAGAUGUUGUUUGUAGGGAAGAAGACUUGAUAACCAUUUGAUUUGAAUUGAACUAAAGUCUAUGAAUGAAGGCGAAUAAUUU